GGUAAGGGUGAAAGGGUGCGGUAAGAGCGCACCGCGCUACUGGCAACAGUUAGCGGCAUGGUAAACCCCACUCGGAGCAAGGCCAAAUAGGGAUCCUACAGGUGCGGCCCGCACUGGAUCCGGGUAGGCUGCUUGAGGGCUGCGGUGACGCAGACCCCAGAUGAAUGAUUGUCUACGACAGAACCCGGCUUAUCGGCCGGCUCUCUUU
rnacentral:RNase_P_RNA from 1 species